rnacentral:rRNA from 1 species
GAAUCUUGCACAAUGGGCGAAAGCCUGAUGCAGCGACGCCGCGUGGGCGAUGAAGGUCUUCGGAUCGUAAAGCCCUUUUCUGCGUGACGAGAAAGGACGGUAGCGCAGGAAGAAGCGUCGGCUAACUACGUGCCAGCAGCCGCGGUAAAACGUAGGACGCAAGCGUUAUCCGGAGUUACUGGGCGUAAAGGGCGUGUAGGCGGCUUUUCAAGUGGCUCGUGAAAGACUUCGGCUCAACCGGGGGAGGUCGGGUCAGACUGAAAAGCUGGAGGAUGUCAGAGGGACACGGAAUUCCGGGUGUAGUGGUGAAAUGCGUAGAGAUCCGGAGGAACACCAGUGGCGCAGGCGGUGUCCUGGGACGUACCUGACGCUGAGACGCGAAAGCAUGGGGAGCGAACGGG